UUGCCAAUGAUGAGAAUUAACACCAUAUUACCAUCUUUCGGGACUGAAUGGCUUUUAAAGCCUUGCUGACAUUCUGCAAUUCUGAGGCAU
rfam:Populus trichocarpa isolate Nisqually-1 chromosome 6, whole genome shotgun sequence.